UACGUAGGGUGCGAGCGUUAAUCGGAAUUACUGGGCGUAAAGCGCGCGCAGGCGGCACUUCAAGUCAGGUGUGAAAUCUCCCUGCUCAACGGGGAGGGUGCACUUUAGACUGAGGAGCUAGAGGACGGUAGAGGGGGGUGGAAUUGCUGGUGUAGCGGUGAAAUGCGUAGAGAUCAGCAGGAACACCCGUGGCGAAGGCGGCCCCCUGGGCCGUACCUGACGCUGAGGCGCGAAGGCUAGGGGAGCGAACGGG
rnacentral:rRNA from 1 species